AACUCCAGUGAUACGUUAACUAUUCACUUACUCAUUAUAAUGUAUCCAAAUCUGUUGAGUGCUGAAUAAGUGAAUUCAGACAAUCCUAUGUCAACCUCUUGGUGUUAGAGAGCAGAACUACAGGUCAAAAAGUCAGGAAAAAAAUCCUAGCCAUAACCGAAAUCAUCUUCUGAUGGAAACUAUCCUCCAUGAACAUGGAAGAGUAAAUUUUGACAUGGAGGAUCGAACAACUCCAUUUUUCCAUUCUUCAGCCCAGAGCCGUACAGAUACUCAACAGAACAUUCAAGGUGAAAUGACUGCAAUGGAUUCGAGCAAUGGCCUCUUUGUGGACAAAAAAGGCAUUACCAGCACUAAAAUCGAAGAAAACAACUUUUGGGUAUUUUACCUACUUCAAAUGAAAUGGUGUGAUGAAAUGUGCCAUGUGAUAUGUGCUGCAAUGCUCAGAUGUUGCUAUAUUGGGACAGCCCUGCAGUAUGUCACCAUACUAAUGCAAUACCAAUGGCCACAAAGCACAGUGCACUUCCUUGUCUUCUAAAAGUUUAUGGUGUUCAGUUUGUCGUGUGUAGCAAGAUAAUCUCGAUCUACCCAUUUUUAGAAUGCAAUCACAAUAACAAACCUUUCCAGUCUGUAGGCGUACUUCAUUAAGACUAUAUCAGCUGUCUGUGAAGAUAUGUAUUAAAACUUCCAUAUACAGAGAAAAGCUGAAGGCUAGGGAAAUGGAAAGUGCUAUAUUUAUAAGAUACACAUAGAAGCCUGUGGGAGAAAUGCUUCAGGUACACAGUCACAGGUGGUGGAGUAGGAGAAUCACAGUAGACACAAAUUGAGGUUUAUAGCUGCCAAAGUCUAUAAGGAGAUAUAAGGUGCAACUUUAAUGAUUUGUGUGUGCCUAGAUGAGUAUUUAAAAAAAAAAAUAAUAAUCAUUUACAUGUAUAAAUAUAUAAUGUAAUUAUUCUGGUUUACUAUUCUGCAUUUGCUAUUUAGAGUUAAGUAUAUUAAUUCAGCAAUAAGACUUACAAAAUCAGUGAAAACGUGAGGGCAAAAAUGAGCAAUGGAAAUGACAGUAAUGGUUUUACGUACCAGAGCGUAUUUCAUUUGAAACUAUUGAUCUUGUGUUACUGAGUGAAGGGCAAUCUCUUCCUUUCCCUCCUCACACAUUAUAAAAGCACUGACAGUAACAGUGAGCAGGUUGCAUCUUACAGAGGAAUGUCCCUGAGGUUGGUUCUAAAUAAAACAAUUAAAAUGAAAA